AUUGAACGCUGGCGGCAUGCUUUACACAUGCAAGUCGAACGGUAACAGGCCGCAAGGUGCUGACGAGUGGCGAACGGGUGAGUAAUGCAUCGGAACGUGCCCAGUCGUGGGGGAUAACGCAGCGAAAGCUGUGCUAAUACCGCAUACGCUCUGUGGAUGAAAGCGGGGGACCGGAAGGCCUCGCGCGAUUGGAGCGGCCGAUGUCAGGUGAGGUAGUUGGUGGGGUAAAGGCUCACCAGGCGGACGAUCUGUAGCUGGUCUGAGAGGACGAACAGCCACCCUGGGACUGAGACCCGGCCCAGACUCCUACGGGAGGCAGCAGUGGGGAAGUGUGGACAAUGGGCGCAAGCCUGAUCCAGCAAUGCCGCGUGCAGGAAGAAGGCCUGGGGGUUGUAAACUGCUUUUGUAGGGGGCGAAAAGGCUCCCUCUAAUACAGGGGGCUCAUGACGGUACCGUAAGAAUAAGCACCGGCUAACUACGUGCCAGCCGCCGCCGUAACAC
rnacentral:rRNA from 1 species